GGAAAACCGGGAGACUUGCCCAGGUGGGAGAGUUGAACCACCUUUCAAAAUUGUAUUUGAAUUAAGCGCGAACGAAACGUCAAAGCGUUCAUUGGUCGCACUCAAGAGGCUAAUCAUAAGUAUGCAACUAUUUUGCAUCUUAGUGGUGUGGUUCGUCAGUGACAAUGUAAAACGUGUUUUUGUUGCUGCGGAGUGUAUUUUCUUGUUUUAAGUAAUUUUGUGAUUGCUGUCAUAUUUAUUGAGUGCCAACUUGUACGAUGCCUUUUCAAUACAAGCCUUCUGAAAAUGCUCGCAAACGAAAAAAACUCACAAAAAUGGAAUUGCAAAAUGCCAUAGAUGAAAUUAAGGGAGGCGCUUCUAUUCGACGAACUUCAAAUAAAUAUGGCAUAGAUAGAACUACUUUGAGGCGAUAUAAAUUAGAUGAAGAUAAAAAUAAUAAAUUUCAAGAAAAAACAGACAAUAUAAAGCAUCACAGAUGUUUACAACGGCCGAGGAAAAGCUUCUUGUCAAUUAUUUGUUGACAUGCAGUAAAAUGCAUUAUGGUUUGACAAGAAAACAAGCAAUCCUGUUGGCUGAUUAGAAGAUAGUUAAUUGUUUUAAUAAAAGUUAAUAUUCUGACUGAUUUAUUACAAAGAUUAUAAUUAUAUUAUCAGUA
rnacentral:lncRNA from 1 species